AUUGAACGCUAGCGGCAUGCCUUACACAUGCAAGUCGCACGGAGUGGCGAACGGGUGAGGAAUGUAUCGGAACGUGCCCCGUAGCGGGGGAUAACUACGCGAACGCGUAGCUAAUGCCGCAUACUCUUGGCACCGCCUAUAUCGGAUUAGCUGGUUGGUGGGGGAACGGCUCACCAAGGCGACGAUCCGUAGCUGGUUUGAGAGGACGACCAGCCAAACUGGGACUGAGACACGGCCCAGACUCAUACGGGAGGCAGCAGUGGGGAAUUUUGGACAAUGGGGGAAACCCUGAUGCAGCCAUGCCGCGUGUAGGAUGAAGGCCUUCGGGUUGUAAAGCACUUUUGGCGGGAAGGCGGUACCUGCAGAAGAAGCACCGGCUAACUACGUGCCAGCAGCGGCGGUAAUUC
rnacentral:rRNA from 1 species